UCUAGAGUNUCGGAGAGGAAAGUGGAAUUCNUAGUGUAGCGGUGAAAUGCGUAGAUAUUAGGAAGANCACCAGUGGCGAAGGCGACUUUCUGGACGAAAACUGACGCUGAGGCGCGAAAGCCAGGGGAGCGAACGGGAUUAGAUACCCCGGUAGUCCUGGCCGUAAACGAUGGGUACUAGGUGUAGGAGGUAUCGACCCCUUCUGUGCCGGAGUUAACGCAAUAAGUACCCCGCCUGGGGAGUACGACCGCAAGGUUGAAACUCAAAGGAAUUGACGGGGGCCCGCACAAGCGGUGGAGUAUGUGGUUUAAUUCGACGCAACGCGAAGAACCUUACCAGGUCUUGACAUUGAUGGACAGAACUAGAGAUAGUUCCUCUUCUUCGGAAGCCAGAAAACAGGUGGUGCACGGUUGUCGUCAGCUCGUGUCGUGAGAUGUUGNNNNAANNNNNNNNNNCGAGCGCAACCCCUAUCUUAUGUUGCCAGCACUCCGGGUGGGAACUCAUGAGAGACUGCCGCAGACAAUGCGGAGGAAGGCGGGGAUGACGUCAAAUCAUCAUGCCCCUUAUGACCUGGGCUACACACGUACUACAAUGGGAGUUAAUAGACGGAAGCGAAACCGCGAGGUGGAGCAAACCCGAGAAACACUCUCUCAGUUCGGAUCGUAGGCUGCAACUCGCCUACGUGAAGUCGGAAUCGCUAGUAAUCGCAGGUCAGCAUACUGCGGUGAAUACGUUCCCGGGC
rnacentral:rRNA from 1 species